rnacentral:rRNA from 1 species
GACGAACCGUGCGAACGUUAUUCGGAAUCACUGGGCUUAAAGCGCGUGUAGGCGGAUGGGAACGUCGGUCGUUGAAAUCCCCCGGCUCAACCGGGGAACCGGCACCGAAACGACCCGUCUGGAGGGACGUAGGGGGACCUGGAACAUCCGGUGGAGCGGUGAAAUGCGUAGAUAUCGUAAGGAAGACCAGUGGCGAAGGCGGGUCUCUGGACAGUUCCUGACGCUGAGGCACGAAGGUCAGGGGAGCAAACGGG